rnacentral:lncRNA from 1 species
GCCUCGGGUUGGCUGUUUUUGGCCGAAUUCGGCCACACUCGCAUCGGUCCUUGUGAGAAAACAACCCUAGGGCCCUCGGGGGGCCAAAAAAUCACGGAAAAAUGGAGCUUACCGGCGGCGGCGCUCUCGGGUGCGGCGGCUCUCUGGCGAGGUUCGUGUUUUGGUGAUUCGGCUCCGGUCAACCUGUAGAGAAAAGAAUGGUGAUCACGGUGAUAUAAAAAUUGCAUCGAACGGAGGCCGGGAAGGGCCUCGUCGGAGGCAAAAACCGAGAGGGGCGCGGCGGCGCCGCUGGG